rnacentral:lncRNA from 1 species
UGGCAAUCCUCUCCGGUCCCCUUCCGGGCUGUGGGAGCUUUGUUCUUUUGCUCUUUGCAAUAAAUCUUGCUGCUGCUCGCUCUUUGGGUCCACAUUGCCUUUGUGAGCUGUAACACUCACGGCGAAGGUCUGCAGCUUCACUCCUAAAGCCAGAGAGACCACAAACCCACCGGGAGGAACGAACAACUCCAGACGCGCGGCCUUAAGAGCUGUAACACUCACCGCGAAAGUCUGCAGCUUCACUCCUAAAGCCAGCGAGACCACGAACCCACCAGGAGGAACGAACAAUUCCAGAUGCGCCGCCUUAGGAGCUGUAACACUCACCGCGAAGAUCUGCAGCUUCACUCCUGAGCCGGCGAGACCACGAACCCCACCAGAAGGAAGAAACUCCGGACACGCCGCCUUUAAGAACUAUAACACUCACGGCGAGGGUCCACGGCUUCAUUCUUGAAGUCAGUGAAACCAAGAACCCACCAAUUCCGGACACAGCAGGAUCCCACCCACAGAACCGCCAGGUGCACAGCUGCAUAUCCUCAGGGGAAAACUCCCCUCCCCUGCCACCUUACUGAUAGGCUUCACUUCCCAGAGAACUUUCCCAAUCCUGUGCAAUGCCUGAGUGGUACAUUGUAUUCUAUGAGAAUGGCGCCCCCGCCUCCAGAGUUGUGCAACAAGACUUCCAUGAAUCAAAGCCCAUCGCUGGCUGCCUCCUCUAGCCCUGCAUAGCCCAGGUACAUCUGAAAGGAGUGAGAAGUGUUUUGAGGGCUCUCCCUGUCUCUUCCUGCACCUCUCUCUUGUGAUCCCAGAAGCUACAACCUCAGCCCAGAUUAGCAGGCUGAGGGGUCAGGAGGCUGUCACUGGAGCUGUUGAGCUCAUGAACACGCCGAAGUUGCUGCGCUCCAGAAAUGUGGAAGUUGGAAUGAAGAGCCACCACUGCUGCCACCAACAUGAAGCUUGACCAAGCAAGCCAAGAAAAGAUGGCCAAGAGCCUCUGCCUUCCUUCUGCCUUCUGCAACGCAAUGGUGAGCUGCACAUCCACAACUUGAAGGGAGUCUGGGAAAUGCAGAGUUAAACUUUCUAGCCUCUCUAAGCUUUCAACUGUUACAGAAAGGCAACCCAGGAGGAGACUGGAAUAAAUGCUGAGUGCCAAUUUCCAACACAAGUAGUCAUUAUAAUUGGGGUGAGUGUUAUCUUGCCCUGGCUCAGGGGUAAUCUUGUGUUGGUUCUGUUCAUCCCCACCAAAAUCAAGUGCAGGGCUUAUUCUCCCUUCCCUAACCAUCAGGUCACUAGGGGUCCAGGGCCUCACCUUCCUUCUCAAGAGUUAAUGAGCAUUCCAGGAUGUUGUAAGGAAGGACUGUCCAUAUGGAAUAGGGAGGACACAAACCCAACAUUUUGCUCUGACUGUUAGCCAAUAAACAAUGUCCUGGUUGUUGCUUGCUGUCAGGCAUAAGUCCUCACUAGACACCUACCAGAAGGCAACUAACCCAAUGGUCUGGCAUAGGCAAAGGGGCUUACUAAAAUGUAGGCUGGCACUCACUUCUAGCCCUCUCCUCCUGUCCCCACCACCUCUCUGUCUUAUCACUUCCCUUCUAUCUCCCCUCCUCCCUCAGCCUAGAGAAUAUUUUUCUAACUUAGGUAAGGAGCUUUGCUGUUAUUCCUGAUGUUUUCUCCUAAAUCUUUUACCAGUUUGUUCUCUCCAGUUCACUAAGGAUCUAGACCAGUGGUUUUCAAUCUGCAGCCUACAUCUGAGUCACCUGGAGGGCCUGUUAAAACACAGAACGUGGAGCCCAACCCCCAGAGGUGCUGAUUCAGUAGGUCUGGGGUAGGGCCCAAGAAUUUCCCUUUCUAACGAGUAUCCAGGUGAUGCUGAUGUGGUCUGGAGACCAUACUUUGAGAACCACCGGCCCAGGCUUUUGAAACUGAAAAACUUUGCUUUCUGCUUGUAAGACCCAUCUCUUAGAUAGGAGCAAAGAAUGGUUUGUCUGUUCAAAUGGGGAGAUGGAAUAGAAGAAAAAAAAUCUAGAAGAAAAAAAUCAAAA